UACAGGCUGCUCGGGGGACGGUUAGCCCCUUCCUGGUAAGGAAGGGGGUGGUAGGAUGACUGUAUUUGAAGCAUUGUCAUUUGCUGUUGCAUUUGCCACGCUUAUGGUAUUGGUCACGACCAACAGAAAAUAGCCGCCCCUCCCCAAGGUGUACGGCUAUUUCUGAAUAGUUUGUAACAUAUGGGCUAACCGUUUCCCGGUUAGACAACCUGUAGAGGCUGGCGUGUUAGAGCACGUCAG
rnacentral:sRNA from 1 species